UGGGAACGUGCCUUUUGGUUCGGAACAACACAGGGAAACUUGUGCUAAUACCGGAUAAGCCCUUACGGGGAAAGAUUUAUCGCCAAAAGAUCGGCCCGCGUCUGAUUAGCUAGUUGGUGGGGUAAUGGCCCACCAAGGCGACGAUCAGUAGCUGGUCUGAGAGGAUGAUCAGCCACAUUGGACUGAGACACGGCCCAAACUCCUACGGGAGGCAG
rnacentral:rRNA from 1 species